UGGGCUCUGACCGGUAAGUGGUCAUGGCGAAAUGGGAUGAACCAUACGUCUGAAUAAGGUGCCGAAAUGUACUAUCACUGAUACCAUAAAGGGAGUCCAUGUAUUUAGACAGCAGGUCGGUGCCCCUAAAAGCAGGUAUCCGCUAAAGAGUGUGUUAAAACUCACCUGCCGAAUACUAGGGCCCCGAAAAUGAAUGGCGCAUAUAGUACUACCGAUCUCAGACAUCAGUUCUAUUGAACUGAGAGUAGGGGGAUGUGGACAUUUUUGUGAAGGUGCAAUGUGAGUUGGACUGGAAGAAUGUCUAUUACAGAUCCUAAUUGAAGUAGCGAUUAUCCAGGCUUGUAUCCUGGGGGCUGAUGAGGAGUAGGGUUUCUGGACAACUUAAACAGAUCCAGAGUUAGUCGAUCCUAAUCUCAAUAAUGGGAGAAAGGGAGUACAGUUGAUAUUCUGUAACUGACAACAGUUCGCGGCAACGCAUACUAUUUUUCUCCGCCAAUCUUAUACCGUUGGUAGGGAUCUCUUUCCUACAUGACAGUACUAAUACCCAGGGAAACUGGUCAUCAGGCGAACUGCGGCGUUCUGCUGGCAAAACAUAGCUUCGGUUAUGUCAAUGGCUAUUGGAUUGGUCCAUGAAGCGAAAAAUAGUUUACUGUGUCACUCGUACCGAUAACCGCAUCAGGUCUUCUAGGUAAGUAGCCUAUGGCCAUUGAGGCAUGAUAGUUCAGGGAAUUCGGCCAAUUAGAGCUGUAACUUCGG
rnacentral:ncRNA from 1 species